rnacentral:rRNA from 1 species
UACGGAGGGUGCAAGCGUUAUCCGGAUUCACUGGGUUUAAAGGGUGCGUAGGUGGGAAUGUAAGUCAGUGGUGAAAUCUCCGUGCUUAACAUGGAACUGCCAUUGAUACUAUGUUUCUUGAAUUUUCUGGAGGUCAGCGGAAUAUGUCAUGUAGCGGUGAAAUGCUUAGAUAUGACAUAGAACACCAAUUGCGAAGGCAGCUGACUACAGGGAUAUUGACACUGAGGCACGAAAAGCGUGGGGGAUCAAAACAGG